UGGUGCCUCAUUGUGGUUUUGAUUUGCAUUUUUAUGAUGAAUAAUGAUGUUGAGCAUCUUUUCCUAUGCUUAUUAUCCAUUCAUAUAUCUUCUUUGAAGAACUGCCUGUUCAAUUCCUUUACCCAUUUUGAUAUUGGAUUGUCUUUUUAUAAGUGAAUUGUAAGAGUUAUUUCUAUAUCCUAGAUGCAAAUCCCUUAUCAGAUAAAGGGUUUUCAAGUAUUUCCCCUAUUCCAUUGCUUCCCUUUUCACUGUCUGGGAGAAGUCCAGUUAAUCUGCUUUUCUCCUUUGGUGUCAUAUCUGAGAAACCAUUGCCAAAUCUAGUCACUAAGACAUACAUCUUUGUUUUUUUCCUGAGUUUUAUAAUUUGAGCUCUUACAUAUUGAGUUAACUUUGUAUAUAUGCUAUGAAGUAGAGGUCUGAUUUUAUUCUUCUGUAUGUGGAUAUUCAGUGGUCCUAAUACCAUGUGUUAAAAGGAUUGUUCUUGUUCCAUUUAACUGCUUGGCACCCUUGUUGACAGUCAGUUCUCCACAAAUGUAGGAGUUUACUUUGGAUUCUCAAUUCUAACACAGUUUUCUGUAUGUCUAUCCUUAUGCCAGUACCAAAUCGUAUUUUGUGAGAACACUUUCCAUGUCAUCUUGCAUAUUACCACUUGCUUCUCUCCACUCCUGGAGAGACACUUUGCUUCUUAGAGAGCCUUUGUCCAGCUUCUACCCUGCUGACUGUGCCAUGAUGGGAAGUCAGGCAGACAAAGGUAGAGCCCAUUCCCUCUUUUCUCCAUCUGCACCAUUAUUCUCCCACCCAGUUCCUCCACUUCACUCCCAUUCGCAUCAGUCUUGGUCAUCAGAACCUGCUGACUCAGUCUCUGGGCUUCAUUAUGUUUCAUUGACUUGUUAUAGUGCGUAGAAAGAUGGAAAUACCAGAAAAAUUAAAACAAGUCAAUUGGUUUUUACAGGUUAAAUUUAUUAAUCUGUAAUGUGCCUUAAUUCAUUUCACUGCAGAUUACAUUUUGGAUAUAUACAUUGUCUCUGUUUCCUCUACUUAAAGCAGUUCGUUUUAUAGAUUUUUGGAAGGAUGGUAAUGUGUGUUUCUCCAUUUUAAUAUUUCAGUUUCCAUCAUUAUUAUCACCAAAUUGAUCUUUCAGAAUGAUUCUCAUUAGAUAAUCAUUUUAUUUUUAAGACUGGUUGGUAUAAAACUAGUAAGAGGAAAAGAAAACUUGUGAUUUAAAAAUUUGUACCAUACUCUUAGAUAAUAUUGUUUAGUUUAAAAUAUUUUAAACAGAUUCUGUUAUUCUUUGAAUUGUCAUAUGAGUACUGAAAUAAAAAUUAUUCAAGUUUAUUUUUAUAAUGCAGAUUUAAUUCAACUGAGGUUCUAAUAAAUAUGUUAAACUUCAAGUCUUUUUUUCACAUUUAAAAUUGCUCUCUGAAUCAUUGACUCAAAACUAAAGAAAAAUAUAUGCUAUAAUUAUUCACAUUAUAGUUAUUUAAAAAUGUAUUCUUUUAAUUUGCUUUAGGUAGAACCAACACCAUAAGAGAAGUUAGAGCAGUUGAGAGCAAAUGAUAAUGCUUCAUUUAGAAGGCAAAUAGAACUCAGAAUUAAAGACCUAGAAUCUGAACUCCAAAAAAACUUCUCAAGAAAAUUCAAUUAAAACUAACUUGGAAAAAUAUAAAUAGCUCUACCUAGAGGAAUGAAAAUUUACCAGGUCAUCUUCAACUCGACUAAAUGAGUAAGUCAAAACACAGAAUCAUACAAAAUAAGUUAAUCUCAUUAGUUUGCCUCUAAAGCAUUAUUUUUAUUGAGCCAGGUUUAUAAGAUUAGUAGGAAGUGAAAGCUAACUAGAUAUAUUCUGGAAAAUGAUGUUACUAAGUGAACUUACCUUUAAAAUGAUCGUCCAGCAUAGUUUGUAUCUUUCUCCCUUUUCUUAGUUUUACAUGACUUGUAUUUUUUCCUAGUAUUUUCAUAGUUAACCUGAUCUACUAGUCUUUAAGCCCAGUGCUUUUGAAGCUUUGUAAUUUAGAUGGUGAGAAUAUUAUAAAAUUGCUUCCUAAAGAAUUCCCCUAAAUACAAAUAUUAAUUUGUUUAAAAUAGUUUAACUAUUUUUUGAAAGAUUACAUCUCAAACCCAAGGGGCCAAGUACUACUCAGCUGUCUUGCCUGACGGCUUCAGUCCCAGGCAAGUUCACUGUGGAUUCACUAAGGCCCGAGAAAUGACAGUGGAACAUUUUUGGGGUAAAAGGGUUUAUACCUGGCUCUAUUCUCCCAGCUACAGGUUGAGCACUAGAAUCAUGUCUGCAUCCAACAAUCUGCAGAUCCAUAAUCCUCUUCUGUCUCUGACUGUGCCCAGAGCACCAGGCCGAGGUCUUUAUAUAGUGACUCAGUCAGUUAUAGCUUAUUGCCACAUGUUUAGAAGCAGGAAGCUAAUUACAUCAUCAAGUAGUUUAGGUUCAGGUGAGGUUCCUGGCCAUAGGAACUUCAAUUUUUCUCACCCCUCUGCCUCCCCUAGAGAUUGUUGCUCUAAAUUAUGCCUCAGUGCCAAAUUCUUAAUUUCUCUGGGGUAAUGAGUGAAACAUAAAAGGGCGGUGAAAGCAAAUGUUUGAAAUGACUUUGAUGGAUAUUUUAUAUUUUAUCUCUAACUGGGAUUACUAAGUAGGUCUGUGUGGCCUCCUUCAGAAUCUUGUAAGUACAGCCAUUCCAGAAGCCAUCUAUCUGUGUAUUACUGACAGACAUUUCUCUCCCAGCCAUACUUUGAAUUACUUGUUAGUUAGGAAUUGCCCUAGAAAAAUAUGUACCUCUAUAGAACAAGUUUAAACCUGUAACUGAAUACAGUAGGUCUUCUUCAGCAUAUUUUCAGUGCUGAAACACUGUUUUAUAAGAAAUUCUAUUUACUGUUACAGUAACUUUUUAAAUGCAAGUCAUUUAGUUAUCAUUUAGGGAAAAAUGAAAUACUAAGCAUUUUUUUAUUGCAAUCUCCACAGGUUUAAUGUGAUACUAGCAGAGAUCAAUACCUCACUUUCUGUAGAGAAACAGAACAUAUCUUCACUUGGCUCUCUUACUGUGAGGCCAGGGCUGAAGCCAACUUCUGUUGGAAUUCAUUGGCAUUUAUUGCUCAAUAGACUUUACUCGAGGAGAUUAUUUUAAUGAUUCCUAUCCCCAGCAAACAAACUUCAAGAAACAGAAUGGAGACAUACUUUUUCAAGAUGCUCCUAUGUUGGGUACAUUGGGAAUACUCAGUGGGCAGUCUGCAUGUGAAUGCUGGUGCAGGAUGCAGGAAGAAUUGGAAAAAAAAUAUAACUAGAGAACUAAAAGAAGGUAUCAAUUUACAUGUCACCUCACCAAAUGGCCGACAAUACUGACACAAAACUCUGAUGUCCCCUCUGUGUGUUCAAAUAGCACCCUGUUUUAUACCUGUCAUGGUAUGUAUACCUGACUGUAUGGGAACUACCUGUUGGUCUGUUUUUCUGGUUUAUAGCAUAUGAUUGUCAGUGGUGAACUGUGUCAUCUUCGUCGUGUGUAGUUCCAUCUUGUAGUGAGAACACAAGAAGCUGUGAUGCUUAGCCACAAUAGCAAAUAAAGUGUGCAGCAAUGGGCAAUUUAUAUUUCCUAGUAAUCUUGUAUUUUGUUUUGUCAAUAUAUAUAGGUAUUUUUCAUUCUUAACACUCAUAAAGGUCCAACUUUUUCUUGAAACUCAUACUUGUUUACCUGAGUAUUUUAUAUAAAGAGUAUAAUUCUUUCUUUUCCUUUCCAGCUGCUGCUAAAUUUGAAUCUGAAUCCUGUAUAGCUACUCCUCUAGGAUCUACUAAUGGGUCCACUGCAACACAAGGUCUAUUUUGGCUAAACAUUUUAUGAUCACAUUUUCUGUGAUGCUUUUUUUUUUCUCUGAGAGUAUAAUGUAACAUUUGUUUAAGUAAAAUGAAAAUAAAUUCACAAAAAUACAUAUUUAAUAUGGCUAUAUUAUAUUUACAUAUUAUGUAUAUUUUUUAUAUUUCUGUGAAUUGACUCCAGACAAUGGCAACCCAGGUUACCUCUUUUUUUUAUUAAGGUAUUAUUCAUAUACACUCUUACGAAGGUUUCACAUGAAAAAACA